GGCUAACGCCUUACCCUCGGAACGUCGGGCACGUACCUGCCCGGAUAAGGAAGAAAUA
rnacentral:ncRNA from 1 species